rnacentral:tRNA from 1 species
GCUGGGUGGCAUAAGUGGUUUGCAAUUGGUUGCUAACCUAAAGGUUGGUGGUUCAAAUCCACCCAGCAGCU